UAAAAGCAUGAAAAAACAUCGUUUGGGCACCUCGUUGCUUCGAAUAUGUUGAAUCCAUGGUUAAGGUCUCUUCAAGGACAUCUAUCCUCGUCCCUGUGAUUGUCAGAAAUGGAUGUCCACAUGAGAAGCAAUUUAGCAGGCGUCGGCGAGAAAUCAGCCGGAAAUAUCAACUCAUUUUCCGGCAACAAAACAUCCUUCAUAAAGCCCUUUGGAUAACAAUUUGAUUGAUCGGCUAGCCUGAUCACCACAAUUGUUCCCAUGCUUCAUUAAGCUUAUCACCAUCCCUCUCUUCAACUGCUUUUUCCUCUACACUGGACAGAAUUCCUGCAAGAACCUGGAAGUCAAUUGCUUCCAAGUAGUGAUGCUACCUAAAAGCAAAGAAUUCAAUCAUCUCUUGGCAUCAUCUUUCAGAUAAAAAGGAAAAAGAAUUAACUUGAGCACUUCGAUUGUUAGAUUCUAAGUAUUUUGUCUACUGCACAAAUCAUAAAUCUCUCCAAUGUGAAUCUAGGGAUCCUCAGAGCAAGUUCCCCUGAAAUGUAGAAGUGAAACUAAGCAAAGAUGGAAGUAUGGAAUAUGUCUCCAAAUUUUCUGAAAGGCCUGUUCGUGAUGGUGAACCAAUAUCGAUGGGCGAAAAAGAAUCCAAAGAGGCCUGCUUCUGUCACAUCAUCCAUUUCCUCCUGAUCGACUUGUUCCUUGGAAGUUGUUGAACUUUUCGAUGAUCCAUUUGCUAAAGAAACC
rnacentral:lncRNA from 1 species